ACGGGAGGCAGCAGUAGGGAAUCUUCCACAAUGGGCGAAAGCCUGAUGGAGCAACGCCGCGUGAGUGAAGAAGGAUUUCGGUUCGUAAAACUCUGUUGUAAGGGAAGAACAAGUACAGUAGUAACUGGCUGUACCUUGACGGUACCUUAUUAGAAAGCCACGGCUAACUACGUGCCAGCAGCCGCGGUAAUACGUAGGUGGCAAGCGUUGUCCGGAAUUAUUGGGCGUAAAGCGCGCGCAGGUGGUUUCUUAAGUCUGAUGUGAAAGCCCACGGCUCAACCGUGGAGGGUCAUUGGAAACUGGGAGACUUGAGUGCAGAAGAGGAUAGUGGAAUUCCAAGUGUAGCGGUGAAAUGCGUAGAGAUUUGGAGGAACACCAGUGGCGAAAGCGACUAUCUGGUCUGUAACUGACACUGAGGCGCGAAAGCGUGGGGAGCAAACAGGAUUAGAUACCCUGGUAGUCCACGCCGUAAACGAUGAGUGCUAAGUGUUAGGGGGUUUCCGCCCCUUAGUGCUGCAGCUAACGCAUUAAGCACUCCGCCUGGGGAGUACGGUCGCAAGACUGAAACUCAAAGGAAUUGAC
rnacentral:rRNA from 1 species